AAUAGAUACCCAGGUAGUCCACGCCGUAAACGAUGAGUGCUAGGUGUUAGGGGGGUUUCCGCCCCUUAGUGCUGAAGUUAACGCAUUAAGCACUCCGCCUGGGGAGUACGGCCGCAAGGCUGAAACUCAAAAGAAUUGACGGGGGCCCGCACAAGCGGUGGAGCAUGUGGUUUAAUUCGAAGCAACGCGAAGAACCUUACCAGGUCUUGACAUCCGCUGACAAUCUUGGAGACAAGACGUUCCCUUCGGGGACAGCGUGACAGGUGGUGCAUGGUUGUCGUCAGCUCGUGUCGUGAGAUGUUGGGUUAAGUCCCGCAACGAGCGCAACCCUUGAUUCUAGUUGCCAGCAUUAAGUUGGGCACUCUAGAGUGACUGCCGGUGACAAACCGGAGGAAGGUGGGGAUGACGUCAAAUCAUCAUGCCCCUUAUGACCUGGGCUACACACGUGCUACAAUGGAUGGUACAAAGGGCAGCAAAGUCGCGAGGCUAAGCAAAUCCCAUAAAACCCAUUCUCAGUUCGGAUUGCAGG
rnacentral:rRNA from 1 species